rnacentral:tRNA from 1 species
GGCUCAAACGGUAAAGCGUCUGCCUACAAUGCAGGAGACCCAGGUUCAAUCCCUGG